rnacentral:lncRNA from 1 species
ACAAAUAACAGUGAGCCAGCUAAGUCAUAUGUAGUUCAAGUCUGUAUAAUAAAACAGUGAGCCAGCUACAAAAUACAAAUAACAGCUACAAAACUACAAAUAACAGCUACAAAAUAUGUAUUUCAAGUCUGUACAUUAAUGCAAACUGUAGUUUUAAAAUGUAGUCAAUUGUAGUUAAAUGUAGUGUUCAAUAACUACAAAAUAUGUAGCAGCAACCUACUUUGUGAGAGGAAUGUUUUAGUGUUAGAAUAAAUUAUCAUAACUAUUAUAUAGUGUUAGAAUA